UACGGGGGGUGCAAGCGUUGCUCGGAAUCACUGGGCGUAAAGCGUCCGCAGGCGGCUUGAUAAGUCGGGUGUGAAAUCCCGGGGCUCAACCCCGGAACUGCAUUCGAAACUGUCUGGCUUGAGUACGGGAGAGGGUCGUGGAAUUCCUGGUGUAGAGGUGAAAUUCGUAGAUAUCAGGAGGAACACCGGUGGCGAAAGCGGCGACCUGGCCCGAUACUGACGCUCAUGGACGAAAGCGUGGGGAGCAAACAGG
rnacentral:rRNA from 1 species